rnacentral:tRNA from 1 species
UAUAAUUUAGUGUAGGAAGCACGUAAAGUUUUGAUCUUUAUAGGAAAGGUUUAACUCCUUUAUUUAUAA